CCUACGGGGUGCAGCAGUGGGGAAUAUUGGACAAUGGGCGAAAGCCUGAUCCAGCCAUGCCGCGUGUGUGAAGAAGGCCUUCGGGUUGUAAAGCACUUUCAGUGGGGAAGAAAGCCUUGGGGCUAAUACCCUCGAGGAAGGACAUCACCCACAGAAGAAGCACCGGCUAACUCCGUGCCAGCAGCCGCGGUAAUACGGAGGGUGCGAGCGUUAAUCGGAAUUACUGGGCGUAAAGCGCGCGUAGGCGGUCUGAUAAGCCGGUUGUGAAAGCCCCGGGCUCAACCUGGGAACGGCAUCCGGAACUGUCAGGCUAGAGUGCAGGAGAGGAAGGUAGAAUUCCCGGUGUAGCGGUGAAAUGCGUAGAGAUCGGGAGGAAUACCAGUGGCGAAGGCGGCCUUCUGGACUGACACUGACGCUGAGGUGCGAAAGCGUGGGUAGCAAACAGGAUUAGAUCCCUAGUAGUC
rnacentral:rRNA from 1 species